rnacentral:misc_RNA from 1 species
GUGAAUCAUCAAAUCUUUGAACGCAAAUUGCACUCUCUUCGGAGAGUAUGCCUGUUUGAGGGUCAGCCUAAAAAAAAUCGACAUAGUCGCUGUUUCCCGUUGACAUUCGUCGGAAAUGGGGUCAUCUUAAACCUUUGGGUUUUAAGCGGCUAAAAAUUUUCUUUACGAUCCUACGAACGUUUCUAAGAUUUACUUACACGUUUAAGUUAUCGAUUUUUAUUGGACUGGCCGGUGCCUU